rnacentral:rRNA from 1 species
AUUGAACGCUGGCGGCAGGCCUAACACAUGCAAGUCGAGCGGAGCGGCGGACGGGUGAGUAAUGCCUAGGAAUCUGCCUGGUAGUGGGGGAUAACGUCCGGAAACGGGCGCUAAUACCGCAUACUAUCAGAUGAGCCUAGGUCGGAUUAGCCAGUUGGUGGGGUAAAGGCCUACCAAGCCGACGAUCCGUAACUGGUCUGAGAGGAUGAUCAGUCACACUGGAACUGAGACACGGUCCAGACGCCGACGGGAGGCAGCAGUGGAGAAGAUUGGGCAAUGGGCGAAAGCCUGAUCGAGCCAUGCAGCGUGUGUGAAGGAGGUAUGAAGGUUGUAAAGCACUUUAAGUUGGGAGGCGUUACCAACAGAAUAAGCACCGGCUAACUACGUGCCAGCAGCCGCGGUAAUAC